rnacentral:rRNA from 1 species
GACGAACGCUGGCGGCGUGCUUAACACAUGCAAGUCGAACGGAAAGGCCCUGAUUUUGUGGGGUGCUCGAGUGGCGAACGGGGGAGUGACACGUGAGUAACCUGCCCUUGACUUUGGGAUGACUUCAGGAAACUGAGGCUACUACCGGAUAGGAGCUCCUGCAGCAUGGUGGGGGUUGGAAAGUUUAGGCGGUUGGGGAUGGACUCGCGGCUUAUCAGCUUGCUGGUGGGGUAGUGGCAUACCAAGGCUUUGACGGAUCGCCGGCCUGUGAGGGUGACCGGGGACAAUGGUACUGAGGGAGGGAGCAGUCGCGAAUGUUGGGCAGUGGGGGGGAGUAUGGCACAGCGGGCGGGCGCGGGAUGCGGAAGCGUCCGGGUCGUGAAGACGUCUUUUUGGUUAAAAACAGCUUUCGCUUGUUACGAAGCGGGAGUGACGGUAAUGAGUAAAGAAGCACCGGCUAACUACGUG